rnacentral:rRNA from 1 species
AGUGAACGCUGGCGGUAGGCCUAACACAUGCGAGUCGAACGGCAGCACAGUAAGAGCUUGCUCUUACGGGUGGCGAGUGGCGGACGGGUGAGGAAUACAUCGGAAUCUACUUUUUCGUGGGGGAUAACGUAGGGAAACUUACGCUAAUACCGCAUACGACCUACGGGUGAAAGCAGGGGAUCUUCGGACCUUGCGUGAUUGAAUGAGCCGAUGUCGGAUUAGCUAGUUGGCGGGGUAAAGGCCCACCAAGGCGACGAUCCGUAGCUGGUCUGAGAGGAUGAUCGGCCACACUGGAAGUGAGACACGGUCCAGACUCCUACGGGAGGCAGCAGAGGGGAAUAUUGGACAAUGGGCGCAAGCCUGAUCCAGCCAUACCGCGUGGGUGAAGAAGGCCUUCGGGUUGUAAAGCCCUUUUGUUGGGAAAGAAAGGCAGCAGGUUAAUACCCCGCUGUUCUGACGGUACCGAAAGAAUAAGCACCGGCUAACUUCGUG